CAUGUACUCCCUCUGUUCGGAAUUACUUGUCUCGGAAAUGGAUGUAUCUAGACGUAUUUUAGUUCUAGAUACAUCCAUUUCCGAGACAAGUAAUUCCGAAUGGAGGGAGUAUACA
rnacentral:pre_miRNA from 1 species